UGUAGGGGUCAGCAGUUCAAAUCUGCUCGGGACUACUAGGACGUGAUAAGCUGCGAAAAGGUUUGGGGAGAAGCAAAUAUUUUAUGAUCCAGACAUAUCCGAAUGGGGAAACCUGAUAUACUGAAGGUAUAUCGUCGAAAGACGCAAACGCGCUGAACUGAAACAUCUAAGUAGGCGUAGGAAGAGAAAACAAUAGUGAUUUCCGUAGUAGCGGCGAGCGAAGUGGAAAUAGCCCAAACCAAAUUUGUUUCGGCAAGUUUGGGGUUGUAGGACUGAGGACGUUAAAUAAAUUUUUAGUGGAACAAAUUGGAAAGUUUGGCUGUAAAGGGUGAUAGCCCCGUACAUGAAAAGAAUUUAUUUGGCAUCAGUAUCCUGAGUAGGGCGGGACAUGUGAAAUCCUGUCUGAAUCUGCCAGAACCAUCUGGUAAGGCUAAAUACUCUUGAGAGACCGAUAGCGAACGAGUACCGUGAGGGAAAGGUGAAAAGAACCCUGAAUAAGGGAGUGAAAAAGAUCCUGAAACCGUGUGUCUACAAGCGGUCGAAGCCUACGGGCGACGGCGUGCCUUUUGCAUAAUGAUCCUACGAGUUACUCCUCAAUGGCAAGGUUAAGAAUUUAAGGUUCGAAGCCGAAGCGAAAGCGAGUCUGAAUAGGGCGAACUAGUCAUUGGGGGUAGACGCGAAACCUUGUGAUCUACCCAUGGUCAGGUUGAAGUUCCGGUAACACGGAAUGGAGGACCGAACUGAUAUACGUUGAAAAGUAUUCAGAUGAACUGUGGGUAGGGGUGAAAGGCCAAUCAAACUGGGAAAUAGCUCGUACUCCCCGAAAUGCAUUUAGGUGCAGCGUCGAGGUUGAGUUUUAUAGAGGUAGAGCUACUGAUAGGGCUAGGGGGCUUCACCGCCUACCAACCCCUGACAAACUCCGAAUGCUAUAAAAUAUACUCGGCAGUGAGGGCAUGGGUGCUAAGGUCCAUGUCCGAGAGGGAAAGAACCCAGACCAUCGGCUAAGGUCCCCAAAUAUAUGUUAAGUUGAUCAAACGUUGUGCGAUUGCAUAGACAGCUAGGAUGUUGGCUUGGAAGCAGCCAUUCAUUUAAAGAGUGCGUAACAGCUCACUAGUCGAGCGAUCGUGCGUGGAUAAUAAUCGGGCAUUAAACAUAUUACCGAAGCUGUGGAUUUUAGAUUUAUCUAAUCUGGUAGGGGAGCAUUCUAUGUGCGUUGAAUGUGAGACGUGAGUCUUGCUGGAGCGUAUAGAAAAGCAAAUGUAGGAAUAAGUAACGAUAAAGCAGGCGAGAAACCUGCUCACCGAUAGACUAAGGUUUCCUGAGCGACGCUAAUCGUCUCAGGGUUAGUCGGGACCUAACGCGAACCCGAAGGGGGUAGUGGAUGGACAAUGGGUUAAUAUUCCCAUACUUGUUGUAACUGCGAUGGGGUGACGGAGUAAUGAACAGACCGCGUACUGACGGAAUAGUACGUUGAAGGGUGUAGAUAUUGGAACUGUAGGCAAAUCCGCAGAUCUAGUCGAACCUGAUAGUACCACAAAGCUUCGGCCGCGUGGAUAGUGUCUCUAAGCGCUUCCAAGAAAAACCUCUAAGCUUCAGGUUACAACAACUCGUACCGCAAACCGACACAGGUAGUCAAGGAGAGAAUCCUAAGGUGCUCGAGUGAUUCAUGGCUAAGGAACUAGGCAAAAUGGUCUCGUAACUUCGGGAGAAGAGACGCCAACUUCGGUUGGCCGCAGUGAAUAGGCCCAGGCGACUGUUUAUCAAAAACACAUGGCUUUGCAAAAUCGAAAGAUGACGUAUAAGGCCUGACACCUGCCCGGUGCUGGAAGGUUAAGAGGAGAUGUUAGAUUCGUCGAAGCAUUGAAUUGAAGCCCCAGUAAACGGCGGCCGUAACUAUAACGGUCCUAAGGUAGCGAAAUUCCUUGUCGGGUAAGUUCCGACCUGCACGAAUGG
rnacentral:rRNA from 1 species